CCUACGGGAGGCAGCAGUGGGGAAUAUUGCGCAAUGGGCGAAAGCCUGACGCAGCGACGCCGCGUGAGGGAUGAAGGUCUUCGGAUCGUAAACCUCUGUCAGCAGGGAAGAACGGUCACUGUGCUAAUCAGCAGUGAAUUGACGGUACCUGCAAAGGAAGCACCGGCUAACUCAGUGCCAGCAGCCGCGGUAAUACGGAGGGUGCGAGCGUUAAUCGGAAUUAUUGGGCGUAAAGCGCUCGUAGGCGGUAUGUCAAGUCAAGGGUGAAAUCCCCGGGCUCAACGUGGGAACUGCCUUUGAUACUAGCAAACUAGAGUGUGAGAGAGGAUAGUGGAAUUCCAGGUGAAGGAGUGAAAUGCGUAGAUAUAUGGAGGAACAUCAGAGGCGAAGGCGACUAUCUGGCACAUAACUGACGCUGAGGAGCGAAAGCGUGGGUAGCAAACAGGAUUAGAUACCCCAGUAGUC
rnacentral:rRNA from 1 species